rnacentral:rRNA from 2 species
CAAAUGACUCUCGGCAAUGGAUAUCUCGGCUCUUGCAUCGAUGAAGAACGUAGUGAAAUGCGAUACUUGGUGUGAAUUGCAGAAUCUCGUGAACCAUUGAGUCUUUGAACGCAAGUUGUGCCCGAGGUCUUGUGGUCGAGGGCACGCCUGCUUGGGCGUCAUGGC